CUAAACAUGUUGCUUGUAGUUUUUUUUUUUUUCUUCCUUGCCUACUGAUCUUAAGAUCCAAUAGUUGGUGUAUAACAGAUCACCCAAUCUGCAUCUCUUUGGAUCUGUUACGUCUUUACUACCAUUAACUUCUAACUUUACUGUGUUAAACAACUAUCAGGUCUAAUCUCAUAUAAAAAACAAAUUGCCCUGUGACACAAGGAUGAUAACAUAGUUCAGCUGAUAACCACUGAUGAACAGAGCUUGUCUUUCGCUCCUAUCUGAGAUGUCACAAUGCUAGAAAUGUGUCAAUUUUAUAUAUUGUAUCCAUGAUUCUAACAUAAAGAUCCUUUACAGAUGAAAGGCAACAUGGAUGACCAUAUGAAAGCGCAUCAACAAAAUGGUAUGUAUAGUUAAUUUUAUAACCAAACACUUAUCAGUCUAGUUUAGGACUUGCUAGACAUGCAAUUUUAAUCUACUCCCCACUUAGUCUCUAACACAAAUGAAAUGCUUAUACUGUUAAAGGUUUAUUGUCACUUCAAAUAGUGCAGAUGACCCAUCUUAUCUACCAAUAAACCUGAAUGAUGAUUCACACAGACUUGACAUUUCCAUGGAGGUCUGUAAUUAGCUCUAUCUGAUUCUGGGUUAAAAGUUGCUGCUCUGAUUUGUUGAAUUGUGUCAACCAUAACUUAAAAUCUAUUUCUAUUUUAGUGACCUGAACUGCAACCAUUACACCCUGACUAGUAAGUUACUUCUCAUAGAAUUCUUCCUACUUGCAUGAUCUCACUCUAAAAAAUCCUAAAUCAGACCUACAGAAAGAGGCCAGCAUAUCUAAAUUUUCUUAGUUCACCCAUUGCAUGGUGCUAUAGAAUACUAAUCUCUUGUGUAAAAUAAAAUCAAUACAGCACUGGGAAACUUGCUGACAGACUUAAAACUAAAAGUGUAGCAGAGACCCACUAACUAGUUGACUUUUAGUGCUAAGCGGUUUUAGGUGUAACACAACCUCACUGGCUUAGAAUGAUGCUUCAAAUGUCUGACCUGAAUUCAAUGUUGACUUCACUAAAUACUGACCUGAUCCAUAGAGGUUGUCUGUUAUUGUGACAUGCAUAUUGUUCUGGUAUUCUAACCUAACACUUGCAUGCUUUUUCUUUUGUAGGUGCAGAAGUAACUGGAAAUUGCAUGGUACGUCUCACUAGAAGUGUGGUCUUGCUUCACAAUAUUGUAAACCAGUUUCUUGGUACAAAAUUCAACUUUGCUGGGCUGUUCAGACUGUUUCUAGCUACCAAAUAGGCUAGAAUUUAUUUUCUUAAUUUAGAAUGUCCAAUGUAGCUGUAAAAAUGAACUUCUCUAAGUGCAGUCUUAAGAACUUGGCAAUGUGAUGCUGGUGGCCAUUGAUGAAAAUGAUUCUGCCAUAUGAGUAAAACUGAUUAUACUCCAACCGUUCCACUUUUUUCUGAGGUACCAGCCUAAAUAUAACUGCACUUAAAGGAGCUAUGAUAUUAAGCUUAUUUAUGCUAAUAUGUUCUCUAAAACAGGGGUGCCCAAAAGGAGAUCUGACCAUUACUAUGCUGCUUGCCAUUCUAAAGUCUGGCAAAGCAUCAUGAAAUUUUAGCUUUUAAACAUGAGUGAUACCUGGUGUAAUGACUUCUAUACAUUAACAUACUCUCUCCUUGCAGGUUGCACAUGGAUUGUGUUUCUGUAAAUUGGUAAGUUAAGUUUGUCACUAUAUCAAAGCUUAGAUCUCUGACUCUGGAAUCUUUAAUGAGGGGCACAAGGGCAGAUCUUCUUAGAAAUGCCUAUCGCUGGCAAGAAAUGAGUUCAAUGCCUUAAACUAGCUUUUAAAAAUAGCGAGAUGACAUGUUUGAAAACACUGCUCAUUUUUAAUCUUCCCCUGCCUGGUUUCAUGACAGAGCAUGCAUCUUAACAGAGCAGAUACUGAUAUCAAAGAUAGCACUUGAGGCUUUUUAACCUUGACUAGUAUGCAGCAUACAUGGUGCACUUCUAGGAAUCUCUGCCCUUAAUCAGAAAGCUAAAGUGCCUGCCUAUGAUGUUUUUCAAGAGUAGUGGACAGAAUUUAUUUCUGACAAUUUUUAUGAACACUGAGGCUUUGCACUUGACCCAGUACUAGAAGGCCCAAUAUUGGCAUUUUUGAUCAGAUUAUUUAAACUAUGUGCUUCUUUGCUCCAUAUAUUAACUAAAUUAUUACCUCAAAGGUGAACCAGUCUGCUGGACUGAAGCAAAACCAAGAACAUGUGGAAUAACCAGGCUACACUACAAACCUUGCCGGGAUAAAUGAACGUUUAAGGGCUUCAAUAACACUGGUAAGAAUGUGACUUGACUCUAAUCCUGCUUCUGGUAGCGGCCAAGGAUACAUGAUGAAUCCAUAGUUCAGCUGACUGCUGUGAUGAACAGUCUUUCGCUCCUAUCUGAUUCAUCCUUGUCUGUUUACACAUGGUCUUGAUAUUUAUGAUUUUGACAGUUUGUAUAAUAUGCAUUUAUCUUGUUUUGCAGAUGGCUGUCUUGGACCACUUUAAAUUUAAAAUGCCACUUUAAGGUAAGACCACAUAGCCUCAGUUAUAGUAGUCUUGUAUCUUGCAUUAAGCUGCUCGUGUAACCAAUGAUGAAAACGAUUCUGCCAUAUGAAUCCUGAUUUCACUCUUUACCGUUCCACUUUAUUCUGAGGUUACAUGAGGUUUUGGAGACUGCAUUGAAAUGACCUACCUUGGCUUUUCAGAUGGUUAAAUAACCUGCUAGAACACAGUUGUUAGUACCUGGGUAUCCAAUAGCUAACUUGUCUUAUGGUUUUGUCUUGCAAGCAGAUCAGACAAGAGCAGCCAGGCUGAAGUUGGAAUUACAAUUGGCUGAGCCAUGAAUACUCUUGGCCCCUUUGUGAUAACAUGGCACAUCUCUCUACCAGUUGUCUGAAGUCUUGAAUUAGGUAAGUAGACUGUCUACCUUAUGUCUACCUUGGGGUACAUGAUGACAUCUACUUUGAACUCUCUCCCUGAGAUUCAGAUGAAAACAAAAGUACUGAUCCCCCUAGUGUAACCAUUGAGCAGCUUCCAUUGUAUUCCAACACAAACUUCAUUUUUAAUUUUAAAUAUUUUUUUUCCCCACAGAUCUGAGACUUCAUAUUCAAAGUGAUCUCAAAAGGCAACUGACCAUUUAAUGUAAAGCGAACUGUGUUGAGCAGUGGCUUGAAGGACCGUUCUCAAUUUAUAAUGGGUUUCUCUGAAGAGGUUAAGAGUUCUGCUUCAUGACUUGUUAUCAAAGUAAUGUUCUUUGCAAAGCUGUCAUGACUUGUGAAAUGCUGAAUUAAAUAAAGCUUACUAGAAUUCAAAUGUAAUCUUGUCUUACUGUAUCCUUUCUGAUGCUGAUCAGUGGCAUUAGCCAUCCUAAAAUCUGAAAAUAAUAAAAUUUGGCUGCAUCAUUAAAGGACCUUAUGUUGUAUAGCUCAAGCUUUGAAUAACUAGAGUAACACAUUCCUCUAAAACUACAGGACUUGUAUAGGCAAGUGUUUUGAGCUGGCAGAUACCAUCCAAUGAGGCUCUACCAAUUGGGUCUGGCAUUCUGGGCUGCUGUCUGGUAUACUCCAAAACCAAUAUACUACACACCUGAACAAAGGCAUCCACGGUAAAAGACCACUUGCCUAUAGAUGCAUUGACUUGGGAAGCAAUAGCAACGGAGUUUUGUCUCUACUCCCUAGUAUUGAGAUGUGUUAAUACUCUGCUCCUGACUGUCUUUGAUCACCUAAUGUAAAGAAUUAAUGUCUGGCUGUCAGAGCGAAAAUGUGCUGGAGGAUCAGUAAAAAAAGUUAAAUUAAAAUCCCACCCCUUCCCUGCCAGUUGAUCACUGACUACAGUGAUCCGCAGGGUAUACAUUUUAGUCUGAACCCCUGAGGGUCAACUUUUUUGUAGACCUCAGGUGUUUAAUUUAAUAACUUGAAUAUUAAAAUAGUAUAUAGCUAGCUGGGGUGGAAGUUAGUGGAGAAAUAGGUGUUAGGCUAGAGGUUAACACUAAAAGUUACAAAAGUUUAUUUGAAAUUCCCACCCUCCUUUACCCAGUCCUAAUAAAAAUUAACCCCUUAACUGACAGUUGAUCACUACCUACAGUGAUCAAUUUUAUUUUACACACUUCAGGGGUUCAAUUAAAUUGCUUUAAAUAUUAAUGACUUGCUAGCUGGGGUGAGUGGGAGUUUUGGGGAAUUUACAGUUAGUGCUGCUUACUGCAAAUGUUAAAUCUGUAAAAAAUUUGAAAGCUUAGUUAAUCAAAAGUUUAAAAACUAGUAAAAUUUUUAUAAAUACUCUACCACUACAUGUGGCACAAAUUAGAGGAAGAAAAAUCUAAACUACACCACAAUAGAACAUGCACCCAGUUUUCCUUUGUGUCCAUCUCAAAUGUGCCCCUUCAAUAUUCAUAUAUACCUUGCAAAGGUACAUACAGGGGUGUUGGUGUACUCAGACAACACAGCUGAGCAACAUAUGAAGUAUUGGUCAUAGCACACAUACUACUUGCAAAAUAUACUGUGCAAACGCACUCAAAGGCAGGAAAUAAACACUUACCACUACACUUGGUACAAGCUAGCAGGAAAAAUUAUACCGUGCUAAGGCUCAAAAUAUGCCUUUUGAAACACUCUGGGAUGUGUUUAAGAAAUGGUAUGCCUUUAUGGUGUAGUUGUAAUAUGUAGCCUGCUCAAGUGCUCCAAAGUGGGACAUUGACACAUCAAAACUCUCCAUGAAAAUUUGCUUAAAGACCUGAACUUGUUACAUCUUUUACAGCACUGUAACUUCAAAAAUAGUGUCUGGUCAUACUUUAGGCAUAUUGUGUUACUCAGAAGACUUAGCUGAGCAUAAUUUGGGGGGGUUUGAAAUCUACAAAAUGCCCAUCAAAAAUGUAACCUGUAAGUAAAGAAUUUUUACCACAUACUUUGGCAUAUAUUUAAAAAUGGGGAAUGUUAAGGCACAAUAUGCAUCAUAUAAAAUACCCUGGAGUGUCUACUUUUACAAAUAGUAGGCCUUUGUGGGUUUCAUACUGGCACAGCGCUGACCACCCUCAGAGCGCGGAAUUUAAGGCUCUCAACUGGCUGAGCAUAACAUUUACCACCUAUAUAUUAUCUGCCUGUUUGCACAUACACCAUCCAUUUCUCCUUUUGUCUCCCUGUCAGUGUGGAGGUACAUCUCAGGAAGGGGUGUGUUGCUGCCCAAAGAGCACAUAGGCUUGCAUACAGAACCAAUAUUAUAUAGGCUCCAGACCAUGUGAGUGGUUUCAUUUUUUUUUUUUACUUUUUACUUCCAUCACUCAUUUUCACCAAAACCAUCUACACUUUUUUCCCCUUUACCUUCAUUGUAUGUUUAAAAGCAUAUUCCUGAAUUUAAGACUACACAAAAUUGUUGGGGUAAGUGAACCCCUCUAUCACUUUUAUUUGUAUUAGCGCUCCACUAAGUGGUGUAUUUUACACCACAUUUUUAUAUAUUGUGGAAAUAAGGGUAUUCCACUUUGUGUUUAAACUGCUUAGUGUAUUAGGCACUGAAUAGUUUCACCCAACACACCUGUAAAGAGGGUUGGUUUUGUUAAAAUGGUUUCCAACCCUGAAUGAAAAUGUACACGGCCGGAAACACAUUUUGUAAAUGGCUUUUGAAAAUUAAAUGGGUUUCAGAAUCAAUUUACUUAUCAUUGUGAAAGUCUCCCACUAGUCCCACAGAACCCUAUGCACACACACCUACUUACAUGGUCCCCAUAAGUUUCUGGUGGCAGUCGCUUCCUUGCAUUGUGUUCUGGCACCAGAAUGAAAGUCAACCCCCCCCCCCCUACAAAUAUUUGUGCCUGGUUAGUCCUGAAACUUACACUCAUUCAGUACUUCAGCCAGCAUCUAAUCAUUACAACAUAAAGUGGAUUGAGCAGCUUUCUACAGGAAAACAUAACUAAUCAAAUUUAACGUCCCCCUUUAAUGUCUUGUAGCUUCAUAGCUCCCACCCUGUGAUAUUGGGUAUAAUCGGAUUAUUCACCAAAGUGAACUGUCAGGAGUGAUAACUUCUAGUGUAAUGCCUCCAGCCUACAAUCUGACCUGGGAGUUCUAUUCAUGGAAUGAUCCUGUUACUGCAUGAUUCUUGCAUAUUGACACACAACUUGGAUUUUAUUUUGUGUAAACUCUGAAUCUCCAAACAUUACAUUAAAUAUAACUUAACUUUCUGAACAUCAUUUCACCAAAACAUGAAUUCCCUGCCCAGUAUUCUGUGCUGCACAGUAUUUAGAGGAAUUAGAAAAAAAAAAAAGUAAAAUGUAAAGAAAAUUGUUUUUUUGGGGGUAAGAUCCCCUAAGCCCAGUGUGAGAGCAGUGGAUGUGGGUUAGUAAUGACUGUUUCUAGAAUAGUCCCACAUUCUCCCUCAGCUUUCAUUGUCUAUGGAGGUCACGUGGUUUUAAACCUGGUGGCACCAGCACAGAACGUUAGCCCCGCCCACAUCGACCUGUGGAUUUCCUCGUGAUCUCUGAUCCUGCUUACUAGCUGCUCAAAAAGGGGCGUGGCCACAGACCAGUUGCUUAAAAAGGGCGUGGCUGUAAAAGGGGAGCUACAGAGAAAGGUGCGACGUUGCGCAAUGUGGCCGAUGUGACGUCACUCACCUCGUUAAAGGAGACUUCCCUGGCGAACACGCCCCGAAGAGGCGUGGUUAUAGAAGGUGCACGCGGGGAUUGCCUUCUGUGGGCCAGAGAGAGCUAGAGUGUCUGUCUCCCUGUGUCCGUCCGCCCGCGCUCUCCGCUACCCCCGGUCAUGGACCCUGCCCUGCUAGAGGUAAGAGACCAGCCAAUAACGGGCCACGUGGGGGAUCUCACUCCAUGCAUGCUGCUGGGUGUAAUGUGCUGCCAGUACCAGGGGUAAUAGCCUGCAAGGGGGACUGCACAUGAUCUGCCCCCAUUGUGUACUAAGGGGUAACAGCCUGCACCCCCCAUUGUGUACAAAGGGGUAACAGCCUUCACCCCCCAUUGUGUACAAAGGGGUAACAGCCUGCACCCCCCAUUGUGUACAAAGGGGUAACAGCCUGCACCCCCCAUUGUGUACAAAGGGGUAACAGCCUGCACCCCCCAUUGUGUACAAAGGGGUAACAGCCUGCACCCCCCAUUGUGUACAAAGGGGUAACAGCCUGCACCCCCCAUUGUGUACAAAGGGGGGUAAACGGUCUGCUCCCCCCCCCACUGGGGGUAAUAGUGUGCAAGGGUGACCCCAGAGGAACUGCACCCAUUCGGUACUGGGAGUGAUAGUCUGCAAGAGUGAUCUCUAUGUAAUCAGAGGAGACCCCAAAUGAACUGUCUCAGGUUCUGCUAUUUGUUUACCCUUUUGGCUACACUGGGAGCAGGGCCGUCUUAAAUAAUGGUUGGACCCUGGGCAAGCAUUUGCUUGGGCCUCCUGGACCCUGCCUCCCUGGAAUGCAAUCUGUGUGUUACUAACAGACAUACGGACAGACAUACUGAUACACACACCUACUGACAGACCUACUAAAACAAAUAGACAUGUAUACAAGUACUGACACACAUACACUGACAAGUGGCUGAGGGUCUGCAAGAAUUUUAUUUGGACCACCUUUUAGCACAAGGGUGGCCAAAAUGUAGAUCCCUAUCUGUCAUAUAAGUCCACAAUGCUUUGCUGGCUUGGGAUCUACAAUUUGCCCAUCCUUGCAGGGUUGUAUUUAGCACUGAGCAGUGUGUGUGUGUGUGUGUGUGUGUGUGUGUGUGUGUUUUUGAAUGUAAGCAUGGUUUUGUUAGGAGUAUGUGUGUGAAUGUUGGCUUUUAAAUGCAGGCGUGCAUUUGUGUGUAGUGUUUAAACUUCCACACACAAAUACACAGACACAUGCUGCAACAGACCUGCAAAUACAGACACAAAGCUACACCCACUGGUACUUACACACAGAUACAUACACAGACUUCCGUUUGGGAAGUAAGUGUUGAGGGUAGGUGAGCAUGCCACAGUUAAGGAGUAAGCGUGACAGGAUUAGGGGUUUGAAUGUGAGUGUUGGGGGUUUCUAAGUGAUUGAGAGGGUGGCUUGUGUGACUGGGUUAGGAGGGCUAGUGAGGCAGGGCUGGGGGGGUGGUGCGUUAGUGAGACGGUAUUCAGGAACAUCUGCAUGGCAAACUGCUCUAAGGAACUAGUGCUUAAUGGAGUUGCACAUGUUUUACUAAUGCCACAAUGAUAACACUUAUUUGCUACUCUUGACUGACUGACGAGAAAGCGGAACACCAAAUCUUGUUUUGAGGCAUAUCAAGGCAGGCUUAAUUGGCCACUAAAUAAAACAUUAUCUCAACUUUGCUUUCCUUUUCCUUCCCAGGUGUUCAUUCCCACUCUCUACGGCUUGCAUGUCCAGUCUCAGGAUUACAUGUGAGUUUUGAUAAUGGUAGUAACGGCAAAAUACAUAGUGCAAUCCUUUAAACUUGUACUGCGUGAUGAUUUGAAUUUAUCAAUGGGAAUCUCUCUGAAAAAGGAUGAGGGAGAACUUUAUACUGACUUGGUACAUAGAACUAAAGGAACACUCAAAGUACCAUAAACCCUACAAGCUGCUGUGCCCUGUGCUGCCAGGAGUGCCCUUGUGUAACAAUGGUAAACUUGUCAAAUACUAAAACAGUUUUGAAAACUUGCCUGUGGCUGCAUCUUGAGAUGGUGCUCUAGGUCAACAACCAGUCGUGCAUUUGCCUGCUGUGCUGUACAGAGCAAUCCAGUUGCAGGAAGUGCUGAUGUCUGUCUGGAAGACCCAGGUAAACUAUCAAACUGUACUAAAAUGUCUUGCCAGGGCAUUCCAGGCACCCUAGGGCACAGCAGUCUGUAUUGGUAGUGGUGUUUGGAAUAUUGAUCUAAUGCUUACAGUGGAUUGAUUUUUGUUUUCUUAGGUGUGCAACUCUCGAUGAUGCCUAGAAACAUGGUACCAGGUUUGUAGUCUUUUUACACAUAUUCUUUGUGCAAUAAUGGUUCAGUGGUACUGUAAAGGUCUGGAUUUUAGCUAGCUGUGCAUAUUGGAAAAUAGACCUUAACUGUGCCAUGGCUAAACAUGUUGCUUGUAGUUUUUUUUUUUUUUGCCUACUGAUCUUAAUUUCCGAUAGUUGGUGUAUAACAGAUUACCCAAUUUGCGUCUCUUUGGAUCUGUUACAUCUUUAACACCGUAAAGUUAGCAAUUAAUGACAAUUAGGUCUAAUCUCAUAUAAAAAACAAAUUGCCCUGUGACACAAGGAUGAUAACAUAGUUCAGCUGAUGCCCACUGAUGAGCAGAGCUUGUCUUUCGCUCCUAUCUGAGAUGUCACAGUGCUAGAAAUGUGUCAAUUUUAUAUAUUGUAUCCAUGAUUCUAACAUAAAGGUCUCUUACAGAUGCAAGGAAAAAUGAAUGACCACAUGAAAGCACAUCAAUAAAAUGUAUGUAUUUUUAAUUUUCUAACCAAAUUCUUAUCAGUCUAGGAUUUGCUAGACAUGCAAUUUUAAUCUACUCCCCACUUAGUCUCUAAAACUAAUUAAAUGCUUAUACUGUUCAAGGUUUGUGCUCAAAAUGUCUACUGCCACUUCAAAUAGUGCAGAUGACCCCAUCUUUUCUACCAAUAAACCUGUAUGAUCAACAGACUUGACAUUUCCAUUGAGGUCUGUAAUUAGCUCUAUCUGAUUCUGGGUUAAAAGUUGCUGCUCUGAUUCGUUGAAUUGUCACCAUAACUUAAAAUCGAUUUCUAUUUUAGUGACCUGAACUGCAACCAUUACACCCUGACUAGUAAGUUACUUCUCAUAGAAUUCUUCCGAUUUGCUUGACCUCAGUCUAAAAUAAAAAAAAUCAGACAUACAGGAAUAGAAAAUAGUGGCCAGUAUGUCUAAAUCUUCUUAGUUCACCUAUUGCAUGGUGCUACAGAAUGCUAAUCUUUUAAAAAAAAAAAAAAUCAAUACAGCACUGGGAAACUUGACUAACAUGAAACAAAGUGUAGCAGAAACCCAUUGUAACCAGUUGGCUAUUGGUUUUAGGUCUAACACAACCUCACUGGCUUCAAAUGUCUGACUUGAAUUCAUUGUUGACUCCACUAAAUAAUGACCUGAUCCAUAGAAGGUUGUCUGUUAUUGCAAAAUGCAUACUGUUCUGGUAUUCUAACAUAACACAUGCAUGUUCUCUUGUAGGUGCAGAAGUAGCUGGAAAUUGCAUGGUACGUCUCACUAUAGAAGUAUGGCCUUUCUUCACAAUCUUGGAAAAUCCAGUUUCUUGGUUUAAAAUAUAAAUUCUGAAGGGUUAUAUCCUAUGGCUGUUCAGACUGUUUUUAGCUAACAAAUCAGCUAGAAUUUUUUCUCUGAAUGUUUAAAGCUGUAAAUAGUUUUCAAAGUGCAAUCUUAAGAACUUGGCAAUGUGAUGCUGGUGGCCGUUGAUGAAAAGGAUUCUGCCAAAUGAGUAAAACUGAUUAUACUCCAACCGUUCCACUUUUUUCUGAGGUACCCAGCCUAAAUAUAACUGCACUUAAAGGAGCCAUGAUAUUAAGCUUAUUUAUGGUAAUAUAUUCUCUAAAACAAAACAGGGGUGCCCAAAAGGAGAUCUGACCAUUACUAUGCUGCUUGCCAUUCUAAAGUCUGCCAAAGCAUCAUGAAAUUUUAGCUUUUAAACAUGAGUGAUACCUGGUGUAAUAUGACUUCUAUACAUUAACAUACUCUCUCCUUGCAGGUUGCACAUGGAUUGUGUUUCUGUAAAUUGGUAAGUUAAGUUUGUCACUAUAUCAAAGCUUAGAUCUCUGACUCUGGAAUCUUUAAUGAGGGGCACAAGGGCAGAUCUUCUUAGAAAUGCAUAUCGCUGGCAAGAAAUGAGUUCAAUGCCUUAAACUAGCUUUUAAAAAUAGCUAGAUGACAUGGUUGAAAACACUACUCAUUUUUAAUCUUCCCCUGCUUGGUUUCAUGACAGAGCAGGCAUCUUAACAGAGCAGAUACUGAUAUCAAAGAUGACACUUGAGGCUUUUUAACCUUGACUAGUAUGCAGCAUGCAUGGUGCACUUCUAGGAAUCUCUGCCUUUAGUCAGAAAGCUAAAGUGCCUGCCUAUGAUGUUUUUCAAGAGUAGUGGACAGAAUUUAUUUCUGACAGUUUUUAUGAACACUGAGGCUUUGCACUUGACCCAGUACUAGAAGGCCCAAUAUCGGCAUUUUUGGCCAGAUUAUUUAAAUAAUGUGCUUCUUUGCUCCAUAUAUUAACUAAAUUAUUACCUCAAAGGUGAACCAGUCUGCUGGACUGAAGCAAAACCAAGAACAUCUGGAAUAACCAGGCUACACUCCAAACCUUGCUGGGACAUGUGAAUCUUUCGGCUUCAAUAACACUGGUAAGAAUGUGACUUGACUCUAAUCCUGCUUCUGGUAGCGGCCAAGGAUACAUGAUGAAUCCAUAGUUCAGCUGACUGCUGUGAUGAACAGUCUUUCGCUCCUAUCUGAUUCAUCCUUGUCUGUUUACACAUGGUCUUGAUAUUUAUGAUUUUGACAGUUUGUAUAAUAUGCAUUUAUCUUGUUUUGCAGAUGGCUGUCUUGGACCACUUUAAAUUUAAAAUGCCACUUUAAGGUAAGACCACAUAGCCUCAGUUAUAGUAGUCUUGUAUCUUGCAUUAAGCUGCUCGUGUAACCAAUGAUGAAAACGAUUCUGCCAUAUGAAUCCUGAUUUCACUCUUUACCGUUCCACUUUAUUCUGAGGUUACAUGAGGUUUUGGAGACUGCAUUGAAAUGACCUACCUUGGCUUUUCAGAUGGUUAAAUAACCUGCUAGAACACAGUUGUUAGUACCUGGGUAUCCAAUAGCUAACUUGUCUUAUGGUUUUGUCUUGCAAGCAGAUCAGACAAGAGCAGCCAGGCUGAAGUUGGAAUUACAAUUGGCUGAGCCAUGAAUACUCUUGGCCCCUUUGUGAUAACAUGGCACAUCUCUCUACCAGUUGUCUGAAGUCUUGAAUUAGGUAAGUAGACUGUCUACCUUAUGUCUACCUUGGGGUACAUGAUGACAUCUACUUUGAACUCUCUCCCUUAGAUUAAGAUGAAAACAAAAGUACUGAUCCCCCAGUGUAACCACUGAGCAGCUUCCAUUGUAUUCCAACACAAACUUCAUUUUUAAUUUUAAAUAUUUUUUUUCCCCACAGAUCUGAGACUUCAUAUUCAAAGUGAUCUCAAAAGGCAACUGACCAUUUAAUGUAAAGCGAACUUUUGAGCAGUGGCUUGAAGGAUCGUUCUCAAUUUAUAAUGGGUUUCUCUGAAGAGGUUAAGAGUUCUGCUUCAUGACUUGUUAUCAAAGUAAUGUUCUUUGCAAAGCUGUCAUGACUUGUGAAAUGCUGAAUUAAAUAAAGCUUACUAGAAUUCAAAUGUAAUCUUGUCUUACUGUAUCCUUUCUGAUGCUGAUCAGUGGCAUUAGCCAUCCUAAAAUC